UGGCGAUCAAUCAAGCAGCCGUAUAUACUUAAUUAAUGAGCGUAAACAACAUAACUGUCGUUUUAAUUUUACAACACAAGUUGUUAUAUGUUUUCGCAAGGUGUGUGCUAACUUAUAUAAGGAGUAAAUUGCUGCUCUUGCAGGGGCAGAGUUCACUAACUUAAAGCAAUGGAUCAUCUUGUGAUAGCAGGCUGUCUCGCUGUGUUUGGUGUACCAGUAACAAGAGCUAAUAAGGAUGUGUAACAAGGAGACAAUUGAGCCUGCCUGGAUAAAGUGUGACAAAACAUAUUUCGCAGCAGAUGUAAAAGAUGAGGCAACCUUGAAGAAAAUGUGUGAAAGUGUCGAUAGUCUGAUUCAGUGUAAGAAAGAUGCUGUGGGCGAUUGCUACAAACGUGCAGAAUUUCGCGGGCAUUUGUUCUUGUACGAUCCCCGAAAGAUGGAAGGUGUAUUUUAGAUUUAUAUGCUCAAAUAUUGUCUUGGCAGAGUCACAAUUUGCCAGCGAGUGUGUAGUUGAAAAUACCUGCAGUUCUGAAAAUAUGGUUAAGAAUUUCAAUCCAGCUUUGAAGGACAAACAAGCUUUGUGCAGUAUGUAAGAGAAAAUGCGUAAAUGUGUCCGUACGAGUCCAGCUGGACAAUGUACUGCUGCAGUGGCCAAAUUUCAAGAAAAUAUCAAGAAGCUAGGAUAUUCUGUUUCCAUAUGUGACAACAUAGACAUCAAAGAUUUAUACACACUAUACGGUGGAACUCGGGGAGGUACGUCGGGAACAUCAAGAAUUGUGCUUUCACUUCAAGCUAUAAGUUUCGUCAUAUUCCACUGGACACUGUAUCAGUGCAGAAGAAUGUUGAAGAAUAUGUAAAAAAAAAUGACAUUGACGAAAAGAAAGGUCCAAAAUAUUUGGACAUAUGGGUCGCCAACUAUGACUAUUUUGUUAUUGAACAGGUGUUUUCAUAAUGGCCCAAUAUCUGUUGGUCUGACCCGUAACGUUGGGCAAAUUAACAAGUCGACGGUCUAUCACUGAACGAUUAUGAACAUCUGUUCAGAACAUGACAACUACUAGUACUAUUUAUCAAUCUCAACUUCGAGCCUCGUUUAUCAUAUUUCUCUAUUUCUAGAAUUACACAUCAAAUACAUGAAUUCUGCUGUGGCGUUAUAAUGAUAAAACAUAAACAUUAAUAUGCUUCUCAUAUCGUGCACGCACAAAUAAAAAUUAACGGAGAUUCUGACAAAUAUUAAUGCGCAUGCGUAAAUAUGGUGGUCACGGAUUUGAAAAUUUAGAUAAUUUUACUGAAAAAGUUCGUUUUAUCUGAUAAAUAUGGAUUAUUUCUAUGAAUUUUCUGUGAAUUUGUGGAUUAUAUAAGUUGGCCUACCAUGCAGAAAUUCAACAGAUUAAUGAGAUCAAAAAAUAGAAAAACUGUAAUUAAUAUUUGUAAAUUUAUCAAGGAAUCAUAUGAAUUAAGAGCAGAAACGUUAAGACCACUGAUAUGAAUUCCUUUAAUUAUACAUAUAAUUGUAAUGUUUACUCAUGUGCAUGUAGUUGUUUAUUAUAGUUAUAUCUGUUCAUUAGUCAAAGACAUGUUAUGUCGAUAUUGCUAAUAAAGUUUGUUGUUGUUGU
rnacentral:lncRNA from 1 species